UUUAAAUGCAUGUGUUACUGUCUUACUUGACCAGUGUGUGAUUUUAGAAUUUAAGAUAUGAUUGUAUUACCGGGUGCAUGUUUAUUUUUUAUGUGAUUAUGAAAACUUGGUAACGGAGACUAAGGGAAAAUAGAUAAGGUGACAGGCUCACUAGAUAUCCUGGGAGAUGGUGGACGAACCGGGUUCAUAAAGAAUCCUAUCGUGAACGUCGUCUCAUACCGAACGGGAUAUGGAGACUUGGUCAUUUGGCGCUCAUACCAGACCGGGUAUGGGGACGACUCGCUUCACCCUCAUACCGGACAAGGUAUUGAGGUUUAAUUUCUUGGCGCUUAU
rnacentral:lncRNA from 1 species